rnacentral:rRNA from 1 species
AGUGAACGCUGGCGGUAGGCCUAACACAUGCAAGUCGAACGGCAGCACAGUAAGAGCUUGCUCUUACGGGUGGCGAGUGGCGGACGGGUGAGGAAUACAUCGGAAUCUACUUUUUCGUGGGGGAUAACGUAGGGAAACUUACGCUAAUACCGCAUACGACCUACGGGUGAAAGCAGGGGAUCUUCGGACCUUGCGCGAUUGAAUGAGCCGAUGUCGGAUUAGCUAGUUGGCGGGGUAAAGGCCCACCAAGGCGACGAUCCGUAGCUGGUCUGAGAGGAUGAUCAGCCACACUGGCACUGAGACACGGUACAGACUCCUACGGGAGGCAGCAGUGGGGAAUAUUGGACAAUGGGCGCAAGCCUGAUCCAGCCAUACCGCGUGGGUGAAGAAGGCCUUCGGGUUGUAAAGCCCUUUUGUUGGGAAAGAAAAGCAGCAGGUUAAUACCCCGCUGUUCUGACGGUACCCAAAGAAUAAGCACCGGCUAACUUCGUG